UCGGCUUUUUUCAUUACAAAUUUGUCCCGCUUUAAAAAAUAUUCUUUUACAUGGGACCGAAGUUGCAGGGAUGCAGAGCCUUUUGAGCAUUAUUUUAUAUAAAUUUGGGUAUAGAUUUUUUCUUGCUUCCCACCAAAUUAGAGGAUCGUUUGUCCUGGUAAUGUGGAGUUCGGCCAAAUAUUUGUCUAACUCUAUAAUUGCUGCAGUAGAGGGAUUGUGCAUUCCUUGAAGGUGGCUUAUUGUGAUAUCAAAUUCUUCCCAAACUGAGAUUGUCGAAGAUGUCGUCAAAAGAGGUUGGACUGGUUGGGAAUGUUGGGACAAAGGCCCGUAUUCAUAGUCGAGUCUCAAAUUAACACAUAAGAUGAUUAUGAUCAAGUCUAUUUUAUUCAAUCUAGAUCGUCUUAAGAUUAAUAGAUUUCAUAAUCGUCAUAGAUUUCAUAGCCGUGAAAUAAGACAAUCUUCGUGAAGAAGUUAACACUCAAGUAAAUCUUAUUUAAUUUGAGACUGACUUGAUGAAGACAUACUUAAGCCUGUGCUUAUUUUCGCGCGCGCGAAUCGGCUAUUUUCGUAAUAUUACUAUUAUUCCUCCAAUAGGAACAUAGCAUUUCCUCCAAUAGAAACAUUGCAUCGGAGACACAUAUGAUACAUGCAGACAUGCAAUAUACGUAUUCUUGUGUGCUGUUAUCUUGCGUUCGUACGGAUGUGUUUCAUCGCUUCAAUUUUCAAUCUUCAUUGAAAAAAAUCAUCGAGAAAUAUACAGAAUGUCUUGCAAAGAGAAGCCUACAAGCAAAAACAAACACUAUUCAUUGAUGGAAAGGAAAUUAUUCUUACAAAUACUAGAAAAACAUGUAAUAGAAAUAAAAAAAAAGCGACGGCACAACAUUAAAAGAUAAAGACCUUGCAUGGAGUGAAGUAUGUAAAGAAUACAAUCAAUCGACACUAAUCUCUCAAGAAAGAACUUCAACAAUUGAAAAAAUUGUGGCCAAAUCUAAAGCAGUCGCAGAGAGAUGUAUUAACUAAAGAAAAACAAUCGCGUUUAGCAACUGGUGGAGGACCAGAAGAAACUGAAGCAAAAAUUGAUCCUGAUGUACUUAAUAUAGCACCAUAUCUAAUAUAAAAUGCACCAGUAUUAUUUACAUCAAAUAUGACAGAUUUAGAGAUUGAAGAAAAGCGUGAA